rnacentral:tRNA from 1 species
AGAAACUUAGGCUAACCUUAAAACCGACCGCCUUCAAAGCUGUAAACAGGAGUUAAAAUCUUCUAGUUUCUG